rnacentral:sRNA from 1 species
UUUAAAAUAUCAUUAAUCCGCCACUUCAAUACUGGUUAAAUUUUCAUUUUCUUAAUGUUUUAACACUACCAAUGGUAGACAAAUCGAAUCAGCCUAAUUUAGAUAAGAUUGUAUAAAGAAAAAUUGGCUCGUGGUAUACCGUUACUCAAUAACAAUUGUAAACUAUAAAAUAUAUUUAUGUCUUAUA